UAAUCUUAUUAAAAAAAAUAACAGCAUUGCAGGUUAGGGGCUUGUAUUAAACAAUUCACUAUAAGGUGAAUUCGGCACUUGCGACUAAUAAGAUUUGAUUUGAUUUGAUUUGAAAUAGCACCCUAUUAGUGAUUUUGAACAGUGCCCUAUGGGAAUAAGGUGUGACUUGGGACACAACCGUAAUGCUGGCCAAAUGAUAGUGCAUGCAGCCACACCCACAUUAAUCUGUGCAUGCAGGGCAAGCAAUGUUUACAGGCCGAGAUAUGAAACUUCUUAUUUUAUUACAGUCCAUAAAAAUAAGCUUUCGCAACUUCUAAAUAUAAAUUAAAAGGAGUGAACCGAAACAUAUUUUACUAGGUCAUAAUGCAUGUGUUUAUGGCGAAUGGGUAACAACAUGUGUCACCAGUUUUAUGAUUUUUCUGGUUAUGAAUGAGGGAUAUGGGUCACAUGAACAGGCUACAUGUUGGACGACAAUAAUAAUAUUUACAGUAAUAUUGUGUCAUCGCAUGUUUGACAUAAUCUCACACUUAACCUACAGUAGCUUUAGCCUGAGUGCCAGUCUGUAUGUGCUUUAAUUAUACCAACUCUUUGUCACUCAAUGUCAGGCCAAAUGUUUGGCUUGACGCACAAACAGAUGUGGGACCAGCCUACAUAACUCUCUGUCCGCCUGUCCUAUAGGACCAUGAGGCAGACAUGUGACCAGCCUACAUAACUCUCUGUCCGCCUGUCCUAUAGGACCAUGAGGCAGACAUGUGACCAGCCUACAUAACUCUCUGUCUGCCUGUCCUAUAGGACCAUGAGGCAGACGUGGCACCAGCCUACAUAACUCUCUGUCUGCCUGUCCUAUAGGACCAUGAGUCAGAUGUGGGACCAGCCUACAUAACUCUCUGUCUGCCUGUCCUAUAGGACCAUGAGGCAGACGUGGGACCAGCCUACAUAACUCUCUGUCUGGCUGUCCUAUAGGACCAUGAGUCAGACAUGGGACCAGCCUACAUAACUCUCUGUCUGCCUGUCCUAUAGGACCAUGAGGCAGACGUGGGACCAGCCUACAUAACUCUCUGUCUGCCUGUCCUAUAGGACCAUGAGUCAGACGUGGGACCAGCCUACAUAACUCUCUGUCUGCCUGUCCUAUAGGACCAUGAGUCAGACGUGGGACCAGCCUACAUAACUCUCUGUCUGCCUGUCCUAUAGGACCAUGAGUCAGAAGUGGGACCAGCCUACAUAACUCUCUGUCUGCCUGUCCUAUAGGACCAUGAGGCAGCUUGUUUUAAAGAGGCCAAAUACCCCAAAAUUGUUACAUCUGCUCCUGCCACGCCCUCUACUUCUCAUCCUGUGUCUCUCUAACCUGCCACCACUCCCCCAGUGCUCUCUCCCUCUUCCUCUCUGUGUGUGUGUGAUUGUGUGGACGGAGACAGGUGUGCUGGAGGCACAGCAGAUCCCCACCAGCUGCAACCUGAUCCAUAUUCAAGAUGUCUACAAAUACUCAGCCCUGCCACUUCAUUGGACUAGUAACCGAAAAGUUGAAAGAUCGAAUCCCCGGGCGGACAGGUUCUACACGCGCUGACUUUGGCCCCUGUCUCCAGUCCCACAUCUCGUCAGUCCUGCUACUCUGUCCUGGACUCCCCACUCCACUGCGUCCUUGAAUUCCUCUCCGGGCCUGCUUACCCAGUCCCAACUCCCCUCGCUCCAGCCUCAGCCUCCACUCCAGGCUUCCUGAAACCUGCCCGAGCUUCCCCUGGCCUGCACCCUAUCCCCCCCCCCCGUGUUUUAAUAAAUACCUUGGUUACCUGAUCCCA